GACGAACGCUGGCGGCGUGCUUAACACAUGCAAGUCGAACGGAAAGGCCCUGCUUUUGUGGGUUGCUUGAGUGGCGAACGGGUGAGUAACACGUGAGUAUCCUGCCCUUGACUUUGGGAUAACUUCAGGUAACUGGGGCUAAUACCGGAUAGGAGCUCCUGCUGCAUGGUGGGGGUUGGAAAGUUUCGGCGGUUGGGGAUGGACUCGCGGCUUAUCAGCUUGUUGGUGGGGUAGUGGCUUACCAAGGCUUUGACGGGUAGCCGGCCUGAGAGGGGAACCGGCCAAAUGGGGACGGGGAUACGGCCCAGACUCCUACGGGAGGCAGCGGGGGGGAAUAUUGCACAAUGGGCGGAGGCCUGAUGCGGCAACGCCGCGGGCGGUAUAACGGCCUUCGGGUUGUAAACCGCUUUCGCAGGUGACGAGGCGUGAGUGACGGUAAUGGAUAAAGAAGCACCGGCUAACUACGUG
rnacentral:rRNA from 1 species